UGGGGAAUAUUGCGCAAUGGGGGGAACCCUGACGCAGCCAUGCCGCGUGAAUGAAGUAGGCCUUCGGGUUGUAAAGUUCUUUCGGUAUUGAGGAAGGUUGAUGUGUUAAUAGCACAUCAAAUUGACGUUAAAUACAGAAGAAGCACCGGCUAACUCCGUGCCAGCAGCCGCGGUAAUACGGAGGGUGCGAGCGUUAAUCGGAAUAACUGGGCGUAAAGGGCACGCAGGCGGUUAUUUAAGUGAGGUGUGAAAGCCCUGGGCUUAACCUAGGAAUUGCAUUUCAGACUGGGUAACUAGAGUACUUUAGGGAGGGGUAGAAUUCCACGUGUAGCGGUGAAAUGCGUAGAGAUGUGGAGGAAUACCGAAGGCGAAGGCAGCCCCUUGGGAAUGUACUGACGCUCAUGUGCGAAAGCGUGGGGAGCAAACAGGAUUAGAUACCCUGGUAGUCCACGCUGUAAACGCUGUCGAUUUGGGGAUUGGGCUUAGAGCUUGGUGCCCGUAGCUAACGUGAUAAAUCGACCGCCUGGGGAGUACGGCCGCAAGGUUA
rnacentral:rRNA from 1 species